AGCGAACGCUGGCGGCAGGCCUAAUACAUGCAAGUCGAACGGCUCUUCGGAGCAGUGGCGGACGGGUGAGUAACGCGUGGGAAUGUGCCCUUAGGUACGGAACAACACAGGGAAACUUGUGCUAAUACCGUAUGUGCCCUUCGGGGGAAAGAUUUAUCGCCUUUGGAGCAGCCCGCGUUGGAUUAGCUAGUUGGUGAGGUAAAGGCUCACCAAGGCGACGAUCCAUAGCUGGUCUGAGAGGAUGAUCAGCCACACUGGGACUGAGACACGGCCCAGACUCCUACGGGAGGCAGCAGUAGGGAAUCUUGCGCAAUGGGCGAAAGCCUGACGC
rnacentral:rRNA from 1 species